rnacentral:rRNA from 1 species
GACGUGGGGGGCCAGCGUUGUUCGGAAUUACUGGGUGUAAAGGGUUCGUAGGCGGUGUGGCAAGUCGGGAGUGAAAUCUCUGGGCUCAACUCAGAGACUGCUUCCGAAACUGCUGUGCUGGAGUGUGGGAGAGGCGCGUGGAAUUGCAGGUGUAGCGGUGAAAUGCGUAGAUAUCUGCAGGAACACCCGUGGCGAAGGCAGCUCGCUGGGACGGUACUGACGCUGAGACGCGAAAGCGUGGGGAGCAAACAGG